UCCUUUUCUCUAGACUAGUCAUACCCAAUUCCCGCAACCGUUCCGCCUAUGUUUUUGUCUUCAGGCCUUUAGUCGUCUUAGUUGCUCUUCUCUGUACUUUUUACAAAGUCUCAAGAUUUUUUUUGCUAUUAAAAAUAUAG